rnacentral:lncRNA from 1 species
CACUCAUAUCUACAAAUGUCUCGCCCUCUCUUCCACAACUCAAAUGCUAUAACUUCUUUCAAAUUUUUUUGUUCUUCUUCAACCAACACAUUUGAUAGUCUUGGUUUGAUGUCUAGUUCUAGUGUUACAUGAGAAGGAGGUGCAACUAUUGGGAGAUUGCAAACAACUUCCCUUCGAUGACUACAAACAAACUCGGAAGGAGAUUCUACAAGUGUGUUAACCCUAAAGUAAGUGAUUUUGUUGGUGAUUCAUUACUCGUCGAUGCAUUUAAAUUUUUAUUUUUUUGCUCUUUAACAUAGUUAUUGAUUGUAUUUGUAAGAACGAGUCAUAUGGAUAUUGGGAAUGGCAAGACGAAGCCCUCCCGGACAAAGCGUUGAGAGUAAUCAACGAUUUCAAGUCUAAAUUAGAUGUUGCCAAUGUCAAAAUUAGGAUGUUGAAUAUGUUGUUCGAUGAGUGCAAGCUUGAAAGGAACAAAUUAAUGGAAAAUUUGAUAUUUUGGAGGCUAUAAAUGAUGUUGAAGUGAAUGAAUCAAGGGAGAUGUAAGUGAAAGUGAUGCAAUGAAGAUAUUCACUAUGGUUGCAUUUGCACUGUUAGUCGGAUUUGUUAUGGCAUUGUUCAUGAAAUAAAUUUUGCAUUUUGUGUAGUGCAGCAGGAUUUUGAUGAAGUUAAAUGUUGUAAAAUUUAGUUUUUCAUGAAUGUUUUGUGUUGGUCAACUUGGUUGCAAUCCACACUUUCAUGGAUGCAUUUUGUAUAGUGCACUCUACUAAAGGUCUUCCGAUUCUGCUGCGGGUAUUAUAUUUUCUUGGAUCUUAUCGAUCUAUGUCCUUUUUGGUCUAUGUGAUAUCCUCCUUUUUUCGCUUUUCUUUCUUUCAUCUUCCUAAUUCCUCAGGUAAGCUUCAUGCCAAUCUGAUUAAGGUAAGGGGAAAGACCUAAUUUCAUCAUUCAUAUAUAUUCGUCUUAGCCCUGCUUCGGCUUCAAUCCGACAUCUCAUUUCCCCUUCAUCAUUUGAUUUUUUGCAUCUAAGAGUUGAUCUUGCAAAGGGAGUAUAGUUUGAUAACAAGCGAUUUGUAAUCAAUAAAAAGUACCACACGAUUUUGUACCCAUCAGUCUUGGAUCUUUACCUUAGCCAGUUUUAUUUGGUUAUGAACGAAAGGCUUUAUCCCUAGCGUUAAGGUCUCUAUCAAACACUCUUCUUUUGUGUAGUGCAGUAUACCUUUCAUUUUCGGAUUUAUUAUGUUGUUCAGCUUGGUUGUAAUCACUAAAUAACUCUUCAUAUGUCAUGUUAAUGCCCAGUUUAACAAAAUCAUGCAGCGUAAAAUUGGGCAGUUCACUAACUGUAAAAAUCUGUGCAUCCACUUUAAUGUGGUUAAUCGGUCUAUGAUGCAGUAAUUACACAACAUGAAGUUCUGCAUAUAAAACAACUUAAGAACAACAUAUUGACCCUAAUGCAGUAAAAAGUUGUGCAAUUCACUAACAAUAAGAAUCUGGCAUCACUCUAAUGUAGUAAAUUUAUUCUACAUGUCACAAAUGCAGUAAAAUCUGGACAGUUAUCACCAAUGCAAUAAUUACAUAUCAGAAGCACUAUCAAUGCAGUAAUUACAUAUCACCAAAAAUAGUAAAGUUAGCAGGUGAAACUGAUGAUUAGAUGUCAAACUAUAGUCCCAAAAACUAACACAACCUAAAUCAUACUAUGACAUUCAAUUCAGUUACCAAUACUAAUACUAACAUAACAUUAAACAGGAGACUGUCAUUAAGUUUGCAGUAAAUCACAUCCCAAAAUAAACACAAAACUACAUAGAACAACUUGAUCACUUUUAUUUCUUAUCUUCAUCUUCCCAAUCUUCUAUUGCCUUUGUUUUUCUAACUGAUUUGAAGUUGUAGCUGCUUUACCCUUCCACAUCAAGCCUGCUGAUGAAUAUGAAAAAUAUAUGGGCUCACUAACACUAGUGUGAUCACUAGUAAAGUUGAUUGAUCUUGUCCCAGCUGGUAAGUUUACCUUCUGCCUCAGUUAAAGUCUUGUCUUGUCUUCUGAUAUCACCAUUGGCCUAACCACAACAUCUUUAUCAUGUUCUAUCUCUAGGAAAUUUGGAAUCAUAUUUGAUUGAACAACUCUAGGUGUAAGCAUGAAGCUAAAUCUAUUUUCCUGACUUAAUUGAGUCAUUUGUGGUGCUGAACGGUGUAUUUCAUCUUUUGUUUCUGAAUCUAACAAAGUUCAUGUCAUUUUCAAAGGUUAUUUUCCCUUGCUUAGUUGUUUUUCCUUUGGUUGUUAUUAAAAAAAUAAAGUUAGAAAACAUAAAUAGGUACAAGUUCAACAUAUGUUCAAAUUGUAGAUUACCCUAGCACAAGUUCUUGCAUUAUGGUUUAGUUGUCCAUAUUUUCCACAAGUCAUAAUUGUACCUUUUCUGGACUCUGACCACAGUUCUUGCUUUUUAGUUGUCUCAUCCUUCUGCCUAUACCUCUUAAUUUUUGGCUUGCCAGUCAACUUCACCAAGUAUGGGGUCUCCAUUGCUUGUGAUGGGUCAAUUUUCCAAAAACUUCUUCUCUAACAAGUUGGAGCUUGCGUCUAUAAGUAUGUAGAAAUGCCUCCUUACUGUACCACCAGGGUCACCCAUGUUGUGAAGUAUAGCUCCAUUAGCAUAAGGGAACGGGAUUCAUGUAAGGUCCAAUUCCCUACAGGUGCACUUCUUUAUGCUUAAGUUGACACAAUGCUUGUCAGACGCUUCACUAACUUCAUAUCCUCCUUCUCUAUUGGAAUUAACUUUACACACUUAAGCAAUCUCCAUGAAUUCAUUGUAUAGUUCUAUGCUAUUUGGACAGAAUUAUUUCACCAUGUACUAGGAUCAGCUUCAUGUUUUAUCAUCAUGUUCAUAACUUUGAGUCUAAUGUCUUCCAACAUCUUAAUGAUUGGCUUUUUCCUUUCUUCCAGAAUCCCUGAAUUGAAUGAUUCAGCCAAAUUGUUAUCAACUGAUUGAUUCUUGCAAACUGUAUCUAGAUAAUCUCAGCACCAAGACUGUGGUGGGUACUUCAAUAAACUCUUUGUUGCAUCCUUGUUCAACUCUACUAGCUUGCUUAGUUGAUCUUUGAAGUCUUCUUCAUAAGUACACUAUGAACACCACCAAAGUAGUUUUUUGGUUUCCCCGGUAUUGUAUGUCUUGCACUAGUUAAACUCGAUAUGUCUUAACACAAAACCUAUGAUGUGCUUAUGGUAGAACAAUUUU